rnacentral:rRNA from 1 species
AUGUCGCAUUCCAACGAAGUAAGGUACACCGCGCGCUCCAUCACGCCUCCGGCAGACAGGGACAGCGGCUCCAAGUCGCCCCCACCACGGAGGCGCGCGGCUUCCAAGUCGCCCCCACCACGGAGGCGCGCGGCUUCCAAGUCGCCUCCCCUGCCUCCCCCUCCCCCUUUCCCUCCCAAGGGGGUGCGCACCAUCUCGAGGUCGCCUCCACCUAGUAGUAGAAGACGCAGCGUCUCGAGGUCCCCUCCACCAAAGAGGCGCGGCAGGUCCAGGUCCAGGUCCAGGUCCAGGAACAGGAGCCGCUCCAGGAGCAGAGACAAAGACGAUGUGAGGAAUCCUGGCAACAACCUCUAUGUCACUGGACUGUCCACACGGACGCAGGAAACUGACCUGGAGAAGUUCUUCAGCAAAGAGGGCAAGGUUAAAGACUGCCGUGUCGUUAUCGAUCCUCGUACGAAAGAAUCACGUGGCUUUGCGUUCGUGACCAUGGAGAAUGUUGAGGAUGCAAGGCGCUGCAUCAAGUACCUGCACCGUACUGUACUUGAAGGCCGCCUCAUCAGUGUGGCAAAGAAUUAUUGA